rnacentral:rRNA from 1 species
UACGGAGGGUGCAAGCGUUAUCCGGAUUUACUGGGGUUAAAGGGUGCGUAGGUGGGUAGGUAAGUCAGUGGUGAAAUCUCCGGGCUUAACCCGGAAACUGCCAUUGAUACUAUUUAUCUUGAAUACUUUGGAGGUAAGCGGAAUAUGUCAUGUAGCGGUGAAAUGCUUAGAUAUGACAUAGAACACCAAUUGCGAAGGCAGCUUACUACACAGUAAUUGACACUGAGGCACGAAAGCGUGGGGAUCAAACAGG